AAGCCCAGCUUUGAUUACGUACUGAGUUGGAGGCCAUCCUAGGAAACUUGUACCUGCUGCAUCAGACACUUACUAAGGAAAUCAGUCUGCUACUUCAUGCCCAAAGUUUUCAGCUUCAUGACUUUUGUUUGGGGGUGAGGGGGGGACAAGCAAAACUUCCUGGACUUGGCCAUUUGAUAAUCUUCAGCUCAAAGAAGGAAUGGUUCCAAUCUGUUGUGUAUGUGACUCUACCUUUAUUAAAGGAGGGAUUUAUAAAGACAUUGACCAGUGAGGCUGUGAGAGCAGGCAGGAAAGGGAAAUGGGGAGAUAGAUUCUUUGCUGGGAUCCUAGAAACCCUGGAUUAGCAUUUUCUGUGUUCACAGUUAAAGGAGCAUUUGUUGGCUGUUUAGCACAGCUGUCAAGGAAAGGUUUAUCAUGGAGAUGUGUAUUAGAGCCGUGCUUCCUUGACAGAUUUACAUCUUAAAAGUCACCUCUGCAUUAUAGUGAGGAGGUCACAUGAAGUUGUUAGCCUUAAGUAGAAGCCUGGCAGACUGUAGCGUACUGGUGGGUCUCUCCUUAGAAAACCCCAAUCUGGGCCUUGUCAGACUUGCCUGUGCAGACUCGGGGGGAACCCUGGUGGGUU
rnacentral:lncRNA from 1 species